AACGCACAUUGCGCCCUUUGGUAUUCCGAAGGGCAUGCCUGUUCGAGCGUCAUUUCGACCAUCAAGCAAAGCUUGGUAUUGGGUUUGGUCAUUAGACCUUUCCGAAACUCCUAGGCGAUGCGACCAAAGUCCUCGACGUAGCAAUGUCAUCGUCAAUGGUCUUUGGGUGCUUCCGCCAGAAAACAAACCUUUUGAAUUUUGACCUCGGAUCAGGUAGGAAUACCCGCUGAACUUAA
rnacentral:misc_RNA from 1 species